GGAAUAUAAAGUUGUAUACUGUUGCUCCAGCUAACUCCACAUUCCCCCCCCCCUUCUCCCCGUUAAAGGGUUAAAUGCCUUUUAUUUACUUAUCUUAUCCCAGCCGACACUCUGCCCCAUCCGAGGGGAGGCAGAAUUAGUGCUGCUAUGUAAACAUUGCAGUUUCUCUGGUACUGAAAUAUUUUACAUUGCAGCACUACGUGCAAAGGGACACUUCACCCAGACCACUUCAAUGAGCUGAAGUGGUCUGGGUGCCUACAGUGUCCCUUUAAAUAGUUUCC